rnacentral:rRNA from 1 species
AGAGUUUGAUCCUGGCUCAGGAUGAACGCUAGCGGCAGGCCUAACACAUGCAAGUCGAGGGGUAACAGGGUGCUUGCACCGCUGACGACCGGCGCACGGGUGCGUAACGCGUAUACAAUCUACCUUUUAUAGAGAGAUACCCCAGAGAAAUUUGGAAUAAUACCUCAUAAUAUUAUUGCUCGGCAUCGAGUGACAAUUAAAGUUUCGGCGGUAAAAGAUGAGUAUGCGUCCUAUUAGCUAGUUGGUAAGGUAACGGCUUACCAAGGCAACGAUAGGUAGGGGUCCUGAGAGGGAGAUCCCCCACACUGGUACUGAGACACGGACCAGACUCCUACGGGAGGCAGCAGUGAGGAAUAUUGGUCAAUGGGCGAAAGCCUGAACCAGCCAUGCCGCGUGCAGGAAGACUGCCCUAUGGGUUGUAAACUGCUUUUAUACAGGAAGAAACACUCGGACGUGUCCGAGCUUGACGGUACUGUAUGAAUAAGCACCGGCUAACUCCGUGCCAGCAGCCGCGGUAAUACGGAGGGUGCAAGCGUUAUCCGGAAUCAUUGGGUUUAAAGGGUCCGUAGGCGGAUUAAUAAGUCAGAGGUGAAAUCCCACAGCUUAACUGUGGAACUGCCUUUGAUACUGUUAGUCUUGAGUUAUAUGGAAGUAGAUAGAAUGUGUAGUGUAGCGGUGAAAUGCAUAGAUAUUACACAGAAUACCGAUUGCGAAGGCAGUCUACUACGUAUAUACUGACGCUAAUGGACGAAAGCGUGGGGAGCGAACAGGAUUAGAUACCCUGGUAGUCCACGCCGUAAACGAUGGACACUAGUUGUUGGAGAAAUUCAGUGACUAAGCGAAAGUGAUAAGUGUCCCACCUGGGGAGUACGAUCGCAAGAUUGAAACUCAAAGGAAUUGACGGGGGCCCGCACAAGCGGUGGAGCAUGUGGUUUAAUUCGAUGAUACGCGAGGAACCUUACCAGGGCUUAAAUGUAGGUUGCAUUAGACAGAGAUGUUUAUUUCUUCGGACUACUUACAAGGUGCUGCAUGGUUGUCGUCAGCUCGUGCCGUGAGGUGUCAGGUUAAGUCCUAUAACGAGCGCAACCCCUGUCGUUAGUUGCCAGCAUGUAAAGAUGGGGACUCUAACGAGACUGCCGGUGCAAACCGCGAGGAAGGUGGGGAUGACGUCAAAUCAUCACGGCCCUUACGUCCUGGGCUACACACGUGCUACAAUGGUAUGGACAGAGAGCAGCCACUGGGUGACCAGGAGCGAAUCUACAAACCAUAUCACAGUUCGGAUCGGAGUCUGCAACUCGACUCCGUGAAGCUGAAUCGCUAGUAAUCGCAUAUCAGCCAUGAUGCGGUGAAUACGUUCCCGGGCCUUGUACACACCGCCCGUCAAGCCAUGGAAGCUGGGGGUACCUGAAGUCGGUCACCGCAAGGAGCCGCCUAGGGUAAAACUAGUAACUAGGGCUAAGUCGUAACAAGGUAACC